rnacentral:rRNA from 1 species
AAUAGAUACCCGGGUAGUCCACCCCGUAAACGUUGGGAACUAGUUGUGGGGUCCAUUCCACGGAUUCCGUGACGCAGCUAACGCAUUAAGUUCCCCGCCUGGGGAGUACGGCCGCAAGGCUAAAACUCAAAGGAAUUGACGGGGACCCGCACAAGCGGCGGAGCAUGCGGAUUAAUUCGAUGCAACGCGAAGAACCUUACCAAGGCUUGACAUAUAGAGGAAACGUCUGGAAACAGUCGCCCCGCAAGGUCUCUAUACAGGUGGUGCAUGGUUGUCGUCAGCUCGUGUCGUGAGAUGUUGGGUUAAGUCCCGCAACGAGCGCAACCCUCGUUCUAUGUUGCCAGCACGUAAUGGUGGGAACUCAUGGGAUACUGCCGGGGUCAACUCGGAGGAAGGUGGGGAUGACGUCAAAUCAUCAUGCCCCUUAUGUCUUGGGCUUCACGCAUGCUACAAUGGCCGGUACAAAGGGCUGCAAUACCGUAAGGUGGAGCGAAUCCCAAAAGCCGGUCCCAGUUCGGAUUGAGGUCUGCAACUCGACCUCAUG